UACGUAGGGUGCGAGCGUUAAUCGGAAUUACUGGGCGUAAAGCGUGCGCAGGCGGUGAUGUAAGACAGUUGUGAAAUCCCCGGGCUCAACCUGGGAACUGCAUCUGUGACUGCAUCGCUGGAGUGCGGCAGAGGGGGAUGGAAUUCCGCGUGUAGCAGUGAAAUGCGUAGAUAUGCGGAGGAACACCGAUGGCGAAGGCAAUCCCCUGGGCCUGCACUGACGCUCAUGCACGAAAGCCAGGGGAGCGAACGGG
rnacentral:rRNA from 1 species